GAGAGUAUCUGGAUUGGUUAACAGAAGCAGGAAGACCCACCUACCUGAACUCUGGAAUCCCCCCAAGCUAGGGGCUGGAGUCUAGAACUGAAUAAGAAAGAAAGUAACCUAGGAGUCACUGAAAAUACAAUAUGGAACUCUGGAUGCUUCUUAUAUGGAAUUUUCCUUUCCCACAAAACAUGAGUGCCAUAGGACAACUUAGAAGAAAUGAAGUGGCCUGAAGUGCCUGGGCCACCAAAUCUCCCAAAUGAGAGCAAAGGUGCACCUUAAUAUGUGUAACAUUUUUUGGAAAGAAAAGAAAAAACUAGAGGGAAGAAUGAAGAUUAGUAAAGCAGAGCAAAACAGGUCGGGGAAAGGCACCCAGCCCAACCUUAACCAGGAAGUUAAAAAGUCAAGAAAGGUCUAAAUGCCGGGAUUCCCUGGGAACUGAGCCUGGGCCAUCGCGCUCCUGUAGUGUCCACUUCCUCCUCUUAAAAUGAUCACCAAAAAAGCCCUUCUUUAAUCAAAAGAAAAAAAUUGAACUUGAUAAAUUGUGUGCGAAGAGGAUCAAGGGACAGACAGAAUUAAGCAAGGACAGCGGCAAUACAGACAAGUAGCAAAUGUGCUGUCUGGGGGAAGCUGCUGUCCACAGGCUACAGUCUGAGGAAUAUCGACAUCAGUGAUUAUUUUUUUCAACUUAUUCAACCUCUUUAUUUUUAUCAGUGCCUCCUUAAGAAUAAAGAGUUGUCAAUACUGAUGUUUCACACAUAAUAAAACCAAGAAAAUCACAUACACACCCCUUUCAAAACUUCAAAUAAACAGUUCGAUGUUUGGUGCCCUGUGGUUAUGACACC
rnacentral:lncRNA from 1 species